GGGCCCGCACAAGCGGUGGAGCAUGUGGUUUAAUUCGAUGAUACGCGAGGAACCUUACCAGGGCUUAAAUGUAAGUUGCAUAAGCUAGAGAUAGCUUUUUCUUCGGACUACUUACAAGGUGCUGCAUGGUUGUCGUCAGCUCGUGCCGUGAGGUGUCAGGUUAAGUCCUAUAACGAGCGCAACCCCUGUUGUUAGUUGCCAUCGAGUAAUGUCGGGAACUCUAACAAGACUGCCGGUGCAAACCGUGAGGAAGGUGGGGAUGACGUCAAAUCAUCACGGCCCUUACGUCCUGGGCUACACACGUGCUACAAUGGCCGGUACAGAGAGCAGCCACUACGCGAGUAGGAGCGAAUCUAUAAAACCUGCCUCAGUUCGGAUUGCACUCUGCAACUCGAGUGCAUGAAGCUGGAAUCGCUAGUAAUCG
rnacentral:rRNA from 1 species